GACCUGAUAGCACAGUUGGUUAGUGUGUCUGUUGAAGUUAUCCCCCAAGCUUUGUUAACAGAUGGCCCCGGUUCGAACCCGGGUCAGGUCA